rnacentral:rRNA from 1 species
CUACGGGGGGCAGCAGUAGGGAAUUUUCGGCAAUGGGGGAAACCCUGACCGAGCAACGCCGCGUGAAUGACGAAGUACUUCGGUAUGUAAAGUUCUUUUAUUAGGGAAGAAUGGCAGGUGGAAAAACCUGAUUGACGGUACCUAAUGAAUAAGCCCCGGCUAACUAUGUGCCAGCAGCCGCGGUAAUACAUAGGGGGCAAGCGUUAUCCGGAAUUAUUGGGCGUAAAGGGUGCGUAGGUGGUUAGUUAAGUCUUUGGUGUAAGUGCAGUGCUUAACGCUGUGAUGCUAAAGAAACUGGCUGACUUGAGUGUGGUAGAGGCAAGUGGAAUUCCAUGUGUAGCGGUAAAAUGCGUAAAUAUAUGGAGGAACACCAGUGGCGAAGGCGGCUUGCUGGGCCACAACUGACACUGAGGCACGAAAGCGUGGGGAGCAAACAGGAUUAGAUACCCGAGUAGUC